GAUUUUGUUUAUAAAUUGUUUAUAAAAAAUAAUUUAGGGUUUUUGUAUUUUAUUUUGAUUUAAUUAUAUUUUUAUUUGUACUGUAAGGGGUAGAAUAUUUAAUUAUAUUAUAAUUUUUGUAAGUAGAUUUUUUUUAUUUUACCUUGUGUAUCAGGGUUAAUUAAAAUUUUUCAUUUAUAUUGUUUUUCCCGAUUUUAGAAGAGUUAAUUGAUUAAUAUAAUUCUUGGUUUUAAACAUGUUUUUAAUAAUUAAUUGGUAGUGACAUGUUAAUAGAUUUUAAUGAUUUCUGGUUUUUUGAGAAAUGAAUUUAAUUCAUACAUUUAAUUUUAUUUUCUUUAUUUUGAUUUGUAUUAUUAAGUGUAAAUAUUUUAGGGGAUUAGCUCUUAAGUUAUAGUUUUUAUAUUAAUUUAUUUAAAUAUAUUUAAAUAUUGUUGUUUUAAUAGUAAUUAUUGAUUUGAGAAUGUAUUAAUUUUAUUUUUAGUUAAUUUAUUUACUUUUUUUUAUUAAGUUUUAUAUUGGAUUGUUUUAUCAAAUUUUAUUUUAUUUGUAAUUAUGAUUAAAUUAGUAUAAUUGUUUAAUUAAUAUGAGGAAUUAGACAAAUAGUUUUACUCGCCUGUUUAACAAAAACAUCUUUUCUUGUUUAUUUUUGAAAUAUUACCUGCCCAAUGAAUAUUUAAAUGGCCGCAGUAUUUUGACUGUGCAAAGGUAGCAUAAUCAUUAGUUUUUUAAUUGGAGGCUGGAAUGAAUGGUUUGACGAAAUAAAUAUUAUCUUAUUUUAAUUUAUUUUAGAAUUUAAUUAUUAUGUUAAAAGGCUUAAAUUUUUUAAUGGGACGAGAAGACCCUAUAGAAUUUUAUAUAAUUUUUUUUUGUUAGUUAUUUAAAUUUAAUUAAUUAAUAUUUUGUUGGGGUGAUAGUUGGAUAUAAAAAACUCUAAUUUAUUGUGUUUAUUAAUUAAUAUUUUUUUGAUCCUUUGUUUUGAUUAUAAGUUUAAAUUACCUUAGGGAUAACAGCGUAAUUUUUUUUGAGAGGUCUUAUUGACAAAGGAGAUUGCGACCUCGAUGUUGGAUUAGGAUAAAUUGAUAAUGGUGUAGAAGCUAUAAAUAUUAGGUCUGUUCGACCUUUAAAAUCCUACAUGAUCUGAGUUCAAAUCGGUGUAAGCCAGAUUGGUUUCUAUCUAUUAAAUGAGUUAAUACUUUAGUACGAAAGGACCAAGUAU
rnacentral:rRNA from 1 species